GUUCCCAGUUUCUUCAUGGGUGUGGUGAUUAGAUUGCUUGGUGAAAAUUUAGUCAAAUCCUACUCGAGUUGUGCGCACGUCUGGCCCUUUAAAUCUUUUAUAUUGUCUUGAAAUUAAUAGCACUAUCUUAAAUUUACUUUCACAGCUAGUACCAUGAUUGAUAUCUGAAGACGGACCAUUUUAACGGAUCGAAACGACGUGGACAGUAAGAAUCCCGUUUCAGGUGUCAGCUGGUCCGUGUGUUUUUGGACUUUUGUUUCUCCUGAAUAUUCCAAGUGGAGCGUCGUCUCGACACAUCCCAGAGGGACCAUGAGUGAGUUGGAACAGUUACGGCAGGAAGCGGAGCAACUACGCAAUCAAAUCCGGGAUGCGAGGAAAGCUUGCAGCGACUCCACCUUGU